rnacentral:rRNA from 1 species
CCUACGGGUGGCAGCAGUAGGGAAUCUUUCACAAUGGGCGAAAGCCUGAUGGAGCAACGCCGCGUGCAGGAUGAAGGUCUUCGGGUUGUAAACUGCUUUUAUAAGCGAGAAAUAUGAUGGUAACUUAUGAAUAAGGAUCGGCUAACUACGUGCCAGCAGCCGCGGUCAUACGUAGGAUCCGAGCAUUAUCCGGAGUGACUGGGUGUAAAGAGUUGCGUAGGUGGCAUCAUAAGUAGCUAGUGAAAUCUGGUGGCUCAACCAUUCAGACUAUUAGCUAAACUGUUAAGCUCGAGACCGUUAGGGGUAACUGGAAUUUCUAGUGUAGGAGUGAAAUCCGUAGAUAUUAGAAGGAACACCAAUAGCGUAGGCAGGUUGCUGGGACGGUUCUGACACUAAGGCACGAAAGCGUAGGGAGCAAACGGGAUUAGAUACCCGAGUAGUC